ACCAGACAUUGAAAAACAAAGUCUGGAGUAAAUGGGAACAGUAAUUUAAAAACUUUUACUUAUCAUUUAACACUUUUUGUAACAUAAUUUAAAAAAUUAGUCCUAAAAAAUCUCAUUACCGCAACAGUCAGAAAACAUCAACACUGACAUAUUUUCAAAAUGACAUGACAAACCUGAAAGAACAUAAUUUGGAGAUUCUGCACAUGCAUUUAAAAUCAAAGUAUUAUGCUUCUAUUAAUUAAAUUAACAUUUAAUAAGCAUCUGUUGCGGUAAUGAUAAUCAAAAUGUCGUGUAAGCAUUCUGACAAGACAAUAUUUCAAAUUAACUGUAAAAAAAUGAUCUCACCUGGUAGCCAUCUUGAAGUAACUGGUCCAUGUGCUUGGUCACUCAAAAUCAAACUUUAUUAAAAUUCUGUAUGUGUGCUUAAACUGUUCUCAAAAAGUGUUGCGGAGGAUGAGAACAUCAGGCAUGGACACAUCAUUUUCCUAAUUUUUCUUCAUUAUUAUUAUACAUGAAUAUUCAGUAAAUAUUUUUUCUGUCAUCUAAAGUAGUCUAGCAAAACAUCCAUUUACUUUUUUUCUUAAUAUUUUUGUGUUAAUUUGAUUAAAUUACAACAUAACGCAUGUUCAAACACAGCCGGACACAUUGCGGUAAUGAGAAUUUCAGCAGAAAAUGAGAUAAAAUUUCCAAUUAUAAAUUCUUAUGUUGAAAUCACAUAUUGUGCAAGGUAGAACACAGUAUUGUGUUAAUUCUGAUGCUUUUUAAUGUUACUAUAUUACACAUUUUAAAGCUAAAAUCAUUAGUGCCGUGGUGUUUCAAUGGUUUCGUGAGAAUCACCCGAGUAUUGAUUAUUGUUAGAAUCAUGUAAGCUAAUGCAUAAACUGUUAACAAAUCCAACAUUAUCUUAAGGUGUUACCGAAGUUAUCAAAGAAAAGUAACUCUUUCGUAAAUACGCGUUAAACACUUUAAGACCUCGGGCGAUUUUUGUCUUCCCCUCCCGGUUCACCCAGUGUCACUUUCUCCAGACACGUCUCUUUAGCGGUUACGCCUGCUUAAACAUGCACACACAGGGCUCUCUUACACACACUUGCCGUGUCUGACCCUAGGGUCACGCUGAAGUGACUUUGAGCCCCAUGUGUAACAGGGCCUCUUUGAAAUCGGGCCUCACAUUCCUGCCCGCUCUAACGGGGGAUGUCCUGCUCGCUUCCAGCCAGAAGGAAGUUUCUGCCGUCGGGGAUUAUGCGCAGCUUCCUCACCCAGAAGCUCUCGUCUCCUCCCACUCUUAAAAAAGCAGCGCAUCCACAAAGCAGAAAGCGCCGUGAACCAAAUACCUGCCUGUCCGACCGCCAGCCUCACCUCUUUUCCGCCCCGCUCGUCUGCGCUCGUGCACUCUCAGGGAGGAGGCGGCCGCUCUCCGUCCGCUUUUGUGUGGUUGUGCAGAAGUGCCGCGGAUGGGAGGAGGAGGAGGGGAACAGCUGCUCCCCGCACAGAAGCCGGUUUCCCAGCCUGACUGGCAGAGAGAGGCAGCCAGUGCCGGCCCGUUUCCCCCGGGGGCCCCGGCUUGGUUCUCCAGCCUCCACAGCUCCGGGAGGGACUUUUUACGGCUGCAUUGAAACACGAAAUGGACCGGAGCAAGUAGGAUUCUUUCUCUUCCCAAAGGCCGGGAGCUUGUGUUCUCACAUGAACGACAGCAGCAGACGUGGAUUAAACCAUCGCUAAAAUUUGAUCAGGUUGCUGUCGGCUGAUGGGACUCCAGUGAAACCUGCGACUGCUCUGAACCUCCUCCACCUCCUCCUCGGCAGAGCUGUUAAGCCAUCGGACGGCUCUUAGCGGCAGCCGCAGGUGCCACCUUCACCUGGACGAAAAGCCGCGUGUAGAGAGCAGAUGAGGUACUGUUUUCAGCAUGUGGCGUAUACUGCAGAAAUGAAGCGGCGCGUGUAUGUGUGUUUGUGUGGAAAUGUGCUGCGGCGGUUCCAGCAGGUGAGUUUGACACACAAACACAGUCCUGCAUUAAAAGAGGCGGGGAACAGAGACGGACCCCACGACCUUCUGCUUUCAGACGCUGUCCUGCACAGCAGUGCUUAAACACAGACAUAAAAGCAUACAUUUACACACAAACCCACCUACAUGUAUACAAGCACAACUGUGUAUUUUAAAAUGGUGUUGUGAAUGCAGAUCUUAAUAAAUUAUCUUUUUAACACUUUGCAGUAUCUUUGUAUAAUUCUGUUUGUAAAUUUGAAAAUUUUAGGAUCAUUAAAGGCUUAAACCAAACAGGUAAAAGGUUGAAAGGUACAGCAGUUCACCCCAAACUUAAAAUGUUAUCAUUUGUGAAAUUGUGAACCUACCUGUGAAAUUCAGGUUAAAGUCUCAUAAUGUAAUUUUUUUAAUCAUUGAUUUCAAUCUUUACUCACUCAUUAUUUAAGAUAUCAAGGUUAUAUUUACACUUAUUGUUUUUUUUUUUACAUUAUAUAGUAGUGAAUCAUAAAAUAAAUGACUUUAAAUGAUUUUAGUUUUCAUUAAAACCCAGUGUUACCACCACCGUAAAGCUCAUAUUCGCAAUAUCACAGCAUUAGUUACAUGUUUAAGUGUGUGCGUGCACAUCCUCCCUGACUUCGGGAAGCGUGCGCGCGACCCAGUCUGCUUGCAGACGUGUGUGCGCGCGCUCGCGCGUCCCUCUCUCCUCCCGUAGAGCGACCGGCCAGGCUGCAGAUAUCAUCCAUCUCCUUGUCACAAAGCGCUGGGGUUGCUGGGUAGGCAGCAGACAGCCGCUCGGCACUGAGGAUGGGAGCUGAAUCCUAAUUCAGAGUCCGCUCCUCUCCCCCGCCUCCCACGAUGGAAAAUCGUUAACCUCGGGAUCGGAGAACAAAGCAGAGAGCUUUAGCCGACUGUUAUCUCGAAACGCCCCUGCAACAAUAUGUUUUAAGCAAGUCAGAGUCUUGGAAAGGAGACGGUGAAAACCAGCCAAUAUAUACUCAAUUACUGCCUUCAGUAUGACUUACUGUGACUUGACGUGGGCUGAUGGCAGGAUGGAUUUGAAAGAUGUCAAAGAUAUAGGAUCAAUGUUGGCUGCUGCUUUCUGAACAUCCCAAAAAACAAGAAUUAAAAGAUACUUUGAUGACACAGAUCCUCAAUAAUGUGACAUCCAAGGAGUCUGACAUUUGGUGCUUUAAGGAGUUAUUUACAGAUUCGCAGUUUUUGUAAAGCUGUCUCAGACGGAGAACAAUGCAAUGUGCUCCACCUGACCUUUUUUUUCAGUGUGAUGAAUGAAACGGCGGUAUAUAAACUGUAAUGUCUUUUCUGACUGCUAAAAUGAAAAAAAAAAGAAAUGAAUCAGAUUUAAUUUCAAGAUAAGUGGUUUAAGUAGAGAGGUCAUUUGACAACAAUAAAGCAAUUUACUGCUUGAAACACUGGUAAUGCUAUAUAAUAAGGUUGUAUUUGUUAACAUUAGUUGACCACAAUACUUAACAUGAACUAACAAUGACCAAUAUUGAAUCAUUAAUUUGAUAUUCAACAUUUUUAUAUCAGAAGUUGUAUCUCUUAUGCACAAUGAACUAAUGAACAAACAAUGAACAAUUACAUUGAUAUUAACAAACAUAAACAGAGAUUAAUUAAAGCUGUAAACAUGUACUGUUUAUUUUUAGUUAAUGUUAGCUAAUGCUUUAACCCAGUCGUUCUCAAACUCAAGGUUCCCACAGGUCCUUGAAAUCCUUGAAAAUUUGUGAAUCUGGGCAACAAAAAAAAAAUCAAGGCCCUGGGAA